AUGAAGAGGUUCUAAGAAUCUCACCGUUUGGGACUCUACACGGAAUAUUCCCUUAUUCCUGCGUUCUCCUCAUCCGACUCAGUCACCACAGAAACAUCUUCUCGUAAUAUUCCAAUGGCAUCCAAAUUUGAAUCCCUCCUUUUCAUUCGUAUAAAUACCCUCUUCUCUCCUUAGUCUUUACAAACCAAGAACUUGUUAAAAACACCAACUUCUUCUUGCCUGCCUUUCUUGUAUUUUCUUUCUGUUACGUCCCAUGGCUGGAAUUGUGGUUGUUUUUGAUUUUGAUAAGACCAUUAUUGAUGUUGAUAGCGAUAAUUGGGUCAUUGAUGAACUGGGUUUUACAGACUUGUUCAAUCAACUUCUCCCUACCAUGCCCUGGAACUCUCUCAUGGACAGGAUGAUGAAGGAGCUUCAUUCUCAGGGAAAAACCAUUGAUGACAUUGUUGGGGUCUUGAAACGCACCCCUAUUCACCCUCGGAUUGUCCCCGCAAUUAAAUCAGCUCAUGCUUUAGGGUGUGAGUUGAGGAUUGUAAGUGAUGCAAAUAUGUUCUUUAUUGAGACAAUCUUGAAGCAUCUUGGAUUGAGGGAUUACUUCUCAGAAAUCAACACAAACCCUGGAUUUGUUGAUGAAGAAGGGAGGUUAAGGAUCUUUCCUUACCAUGAUUUCACUCAAUCUUCCCAUGGUUGCAGCCGCUGCCCACCAAAUAUGUGCAAGGUAUAUAAUUUAUUUUAUCAUUAAUUAAUUUCCUUUUGAAUCUCUCCUGAGAAUUCUAGAUAUUUAACUAAAAUACAAUGAGCUGGAUACACGCAAGACCCACAUGUUUUAUGCAAAGAAAAGUUCAUGUAGAGUAGAUUGGUAAAUUGGAUUCAGAAUUUCUGGAACACAUAUAUAUAUGUGGUUUCUUAUCUUAGACUCUGAUUUUGACAUAUCUGGAAAUGUUUGGAUCUUGUUAACUUGUGUUCGAAGUGACCUCACCAUUCACAGCAUAUGGGUCCAUGUAUUUAACAUUAUAAUCUUGAGUUAAUAAUCUUAUAAUUGUGAGAAUUAAAGUUCUAAUUUUUGUGGUUAUAUAUGCUUUCUGUUCAAUAGGGUCUCAUCAUUGAAAGAAUCCAGGCUUCCAUAGCAAAGGAGGGAAACAAGAAAAUCAUCUAUCUUGGUGAUGGUGUUGGUGAUUAUUGCCCCAGCUUGAGGCUUACAGAAGCUGAUUAUCUGAUGCCAAGGAAGAAUUUCCCUGUUUGGGAUUUAAUUUGCAGAAAUCCCAUGCUUAUUAAGGCAGAAAUUCAUGAAUGGACAGAUGGGGAGGAGCUAGAACGUGUAUUGCUGCAGAUUAUUGGUGCAAUUUCUUCUAUGGAAGACAAAUCUGCUGCUCAGUUAUUCUCAUCAACUGAUUGCAAGUUGCAGACUAUUUCAAUAGGUGCCCAUGACGCCUUCCCUAAAGCUCUUUCUGUUCCUCAGUAGUUAGCUUUUGUAACCCAAAUUUUGGCGGAUGCCGCCGCACCUAUCAAGUGGACAGGAUUUUAUUUUCUUUCCCUUUUUUUCUUUGUUUUAACAAGAAGCAAGUAAUUGUUUGUAUUGCUGCUUUUGAUCAAGAACUGACUAAGAAAUGAAUCAAAAUACUUACGUGCUUGUAAAAUUGCUCCUCUCUGCUUCUGUCUGAAGUCCUGUUAGUAGUAGCAGGGAACAUCAUGAAUAUUGAGCCAAGUCGCUUGAUUUUAGACCUUGAUAUCUCUUCAUAACUUCUU
rnacentral:misc_RNA from 1 species